rnacentral:tRNA from 1 species
AAGGGUGUAGCUCAGUGGUAGAGCGCGUGCCUAGCAUGCAUGAGGUGCUGGGUUCAAUCCCCAGUCCCUCCA